rnacentral:rRNA from 1 species
AUACGGAAGGUGCGAGCGUUAUCCGGAUUUAUUGGGUUUAAAGGGAGCGUAGGCGGAGCGCCAAGUCAGCUGUGAAAUCCUGCGGCUCAACCGUGGGCCUGCAGUUGAAACUGGCGUUCUUGAGUGCACAUGAGGAUGGUGGAAUUCGUGGUGUAGCGGUGAAAUGCUUAGAUAUCACGAAGAACUCCGAUUGCGAAGGCAGCUGUCUGGGGUGCAACUGACGCUGAGGCUCGAAAGUGCGGGUAUCAAACAGGAUUAGAUACCCUGGUAGUCCGCACAGUAAACGAUGGAUACUCGCGGUCGGCGAUACACAGUCGGUCGCCAAGCGAAAGCGAUAAGUAUCCCACCUGGGGAGUACGCCGGCAACGGUGAAACUCAAAGGAAUUGACGGGG